UGGCGAAUUCGGUGAUGGGACGUUUGAUCACGCCGUUCCGUCGACACUUGUUAACGUCCGGUGUGACUGUUACGAAUUUCCUGUUUAUAUUAAUCACGCCGACCAAAUCAACAACCCUUAAUGACUAUAGUGUGCCUACCGGUAACGUGACGGACGGACGGACGGACGGUCGCGACGACGAAGCAAAAGGCGUUCAAAACUUGUGUUUUUAGAAAGCUAAGACCGAAUUUCCCGCGGCAACGCGGAACAUCAUACCCGCGAAGUGUAUUUUAAAAAUUAAAAGCGUACCCAUUACAGGGUCCCGUGUAUAAUCAAUUUGGGAUACAGCGCCGCCACGUGCGAAUACUGUGAGAGCCACUGCAGUUUUGAACGGACCGCAGGGACGGACAUUACGCGUGUGUACCAUGGUAUACAGUUACUGUAAUAAUAGUGGGUAUAAAUUGUUCAAAAGUACCUGCGCUAACGAAAAAAGAAAACACAUAAUUGUAAAACCAACUUCAAUUCUUUUCGGGGUCGGCGGCGGCUACCGUUCGGAA